rnacentral:lncRNA from 1 species
AAACUUAUUUUUUUUGAACGAACGGGCACGGGACAGUGCCUAUUUCAUUAAGAUAGUAGAAUAGUACAUGAAAGUUACAAAGAAGUUACAAAAAUUAAUUUCGUAGCGCUAUUACUCUCUUGAUAAAAAGGACGCUAAGGCUCUCGCCCCCGCUGAAAUCCAUGUGUCUGCUUCCUCUUUGAUUUUUGCCAACAUUGAGAUUGUUGCCAUCUCUUGAUGGUUAAAAAUUCG